rnacentral:rRNA from 1 species
UACGAAGGGUGCUAGCGUUGCUCGGAAUCACUGGGCGUAAAGGGUGCGUAGGCGGGUUUUUAAGUCAGGGGUGAAAUCCUGGAGCUCAACUCCAGAACUGCCUUUGAUACUGAAGAUCUUGAGUCCGGGAGAGGUGAGUGGAACUGCGAGUGUAGAGGUGAAAUUCGUAGAUAUUCGCAAGAACACCAGUGGCGAAGGCGGCUCACUGGCCCGGUACUGACGCUGAGGUGCGAAAGCGUGGGGAGCAAACAGG